UGGGGAAUUUUGGACAAUGGGGGAAACCCUGAUCCAGCCAUCCCGCGUGUGCGAUGAAGGCCUUCGGGUUGUAAAGCACUUUUGGCAGGAAAGAAACGUCAUGGGUUAAUACCCCGUGAAACUGACGGUACCUGCAGAAUAAGCACCGGCUAACUACGUGCCAGCAGCCGCGGUAAUACGUAGGGUGCAAGCGUUAAUCGGAAUUACUGGGCGUAAAGCGUGCGCAGGCGGUUCGGAAAGAAAGAUGUGAAAUCCCAGAGCUCAACUUUGGAACUGCAUUUUUAACUACCGGGCUAGAGUGUGUCAGAGGGAGGUGGAAUUCCGCGUGUAGCAGUGAAAUGCGUAGAUAUGCGGAGGAACACCGAUGGAGAAGGCAGCCUCCUGGGAUAACACUGACGCUCAUGCACGAAAGCGUGGGGAGCAAACAAG
rnacentral:rRNA from 1 species